rnacentral:rRNA from 1 species
UACGUAGGGUGCAAGCGUUAAUCGGAAUUACUGGGCGUAAAGCGUGCGCAGGCGGUUGUGUAAGACAGAUGUGAAAUCCCCGGGCUCAACCUGGGAACUGCAUUUGUGACUGCACGGCUGGAGUGCGGCAGAGGGGGAUGGAAUUCCGCGUGUAGCAGUGAAAUGCGUAGAUAUGCGGAGGAACACCGAUGGCGAAGGCAAUCCCCUGGGCCUGCACUGACGCUCAUGCACGAAAGCGUGGGGAUCAAACAGG